rnacentral:misc_RNA from 1 species
GUUUCACCACCGCCNGUCGGGACGCGCCUUGCGUCCUUAGCUCGGAUUUUGGUCAACCGCAUGCGGUAACGCUCGGGAGGCCAGCUUCCGUCCCAUAUCCGAGAAGGAUUGGGGACGACGGUUAGUGACACCCAGGCAGACGUGCCCUCGGCCAAAAGGCUUGGGGCGCAACUUGCGUUCAAAGACUCGAUGGUUCACGGGAUUCUGCAAUUCACACCAAGUAUCGCAUUUCGCUACGUUCUUCAUCGAUGCGAGAGCCGAGAUAUCCGUUGCCGAGAGUCGUUUUAGACUUAAUAUUGCAGCAUCACAUCCGCACACACACCGUUCCCAGGGCAGCGGAUGCUAGYCGUUUGUUUGCAUGUUCCUUGACACUUCUCGUGCCGGGGUUUUGUGAGAUCCGGAASCUCCACGGUUGCACCGAUCR